UAGCCCCACAGAUUGAGUGUGCAUAAACGUUGCCUGUGGCUAACAAGCUGCUGGUGUCACAGACGUGCUUCCUCUGCCUGAUGUGGAGUGAGGAGCCCACAUGGUGCUGCUAUCUGCUGAUAUCUCAUCUUGUGCAGCUGCGGUGCUCGGAGGUGUGAGCAGCAUGAGGCGGUGACCAAAUGGUCUCCUCUUUCUCAGUCUGCGCCCUUGGCUUGGUGUUAGACCUGAUAAUACUAAUACAAAUGUGCCUUGAGAAAAACUGCUGGGUGGCAGGCAAUUUUUAUUAUCACACUGCUUUGUGGAAAGGAAAAGUGAGCAACGUGCGAAUGUGCCAUGUUUCUCAUGCAAGCCAUCUUGGAGCACAGUGGAAGAAGAUUUACAUGGGACAUUGGGAGUCCUCAUGCCUCUAGCCCUUUGUCCCAGUGUGGUUGGUCCCAGAGACUGGCAGCUGGGUUUCCUGGAGGCACAACUGGGAAACCAUCCAUCAGCUGUGGGAGUGCUCCUCUAGAAAAGGUGGUUUCCCUAAACCAUAUUGGGGGAAGCAUGAUAACACUGCAGAACCAUGUUUGAAGUGUUUCAACACAAGCGUCCUGUUUAUCCAUUUCCUGUCAUCUUCAGUGGAACAAAGUUCUGUAUCCUUGGGGAAAGUUUUAGGAACACUUGUGCCUCUGUGUGAUGCAACCUUGUCCCCUCCAGGCUUCCUGAGCUGAGGAGAACUUGCAUGGAAGCAUCUCAGCAGUAAAAUGUGUAUAGUCCAUCGCUGUAAAGUUGGCUUUGGCAUUUACCGUAUAAAAGUAUUCAAAUUUAUUAGGCAGUUUCUUGGAGUUCAGUGAAUCCUAUGGGAGACUGUUAUAAAGACUGGCAGCUGAGCUGCCUCUCUGUUAACACUGCAUAGAGAAAAGAGAGAAGUGUGUCAUGUGAACUGCAAUUAGAGCAAGCCAAUCAAAGAACAGUGAGGAGAGAAGUCAGACAUUAAAGGCUCUUUCUUGUGGACCACGAAACAGAACUAGAAAUGUAGACUCAGUGUGUACGAAAUACUGGUGCACAAAUGUAAGUCUGUACAGUCAGAGUAUAUGCAGAAGGGACCGUAUUGGAUAACAGUUACCUUUUUCAAUUAGGAAAUUAUAAUGAAUAUGUAAAACAUUUCACAAAGCUUUUUUAGGGAGAUCAGAGAUGUAAGGUCUUUAAAAAUAGGGCAGUGCUGUGAGAUGCCCUUGUCACAAAGUAUGAGCAGCUAUGCUUAAGUGAUUUGGUGCAGAUUUUUUCUUGUUUGUAACGUGUUUAAAUGAUGGAGGGUCCCAACCUCGCUUGUAAAACCUAUUGUUCUUCUCAUUUUUUGAAAAUCAUUGAUGAUGUCUAGUCUAUGUUCCUCUAACAGGAGUUCAGAGCAGUUUCUCUGGUACUGUGUACAAACGAUGCUGAGUAUUGUCUCUAUCUGCCUAAUGCAUAUUUGAAGACUGUUGUCAUGUCUCAUCUCAGUUCCCUUCUGUAGAAAUGAAUCAGUCCGAGUGCUUCAGCUUUUUACCCUAGACCAUACUUUCAGAGACCUCCGAUGAUUUCCUGUUCUCAUCUUUGGACUGUUUCUGCUGUGUCUGAGUGCUUUUUCCCCAAAAUGAGCUAGUUAUAUAUAUUUUACUAAUGAAAUGCACCACCUAUCAUCACUAAAAAAUCUGGGCUGCCCCCAGGAAGUGUUCCUUCUUCUUACCACGGCUGAGAUGUAGCACUGCCUCCUGUAUUUAUGUACGGGCUGUUCUUGGAAUAGUUUUAACCCAUCUGAACUCCACAGGCUCUGCUCUCUUGCAGACUGAGGACAUGACACUGCUCAGUGUGUUUUAUCCUCUCCUCUAUUACCUUCAAAAGUUUCCAUAGAUGGAGGUGAGCAUCCAAGAUCUCUUUAAGCUGUGUUCAGAGUAAAUUUGUUUGUGUCUUUUAUAGAUGGAUUAGUGAAGAAAACCAGAGCAUUAAAAAAAAAAAAAAAAAAAAGCUGGCAUAAUCUGUGUGUUCCAACCAAGCUCUCUUUAACAGCCCGAUCAAGUGAAAAUACAAAUAGCUCUAAAAUGAAGUUGUCGGAGAAGUUGCCCAGCGUGAACUGCAAUUGCAGCAAUUAUUUUUCUCCUUAAUUGUUCUGCAAUAGUGGGUGCAUUAAAAUGUUUGGCCUUUUUCUUAGUUUUAUGGUCUGUACUGAAACAGCUCAGCUCAGCUACACUGAGUAAGCACAGACUUAUCUAUAUGAUUUAAAAAUAUAAUAAUUGUUCAGCUGAUCUAUAUAUCAUAUUGCAAUUGCUUGGACAUAUUUACCUUCUUUUUUUUUUUCCUGGAGUUCAUUUAUUUGUUUUCUCCUCAGCUCUGUUGGAAUAGUUUAUCUAUAAUUUAAAACCCAGGAAUUUUCUUACUAGUGGAAAUCAGUGUGCUAAUUUAAUACCAGCAAUUGCUUAACCUAUCCAAUGCCUGAGGGACCCCACUGCAAGGAAGGGUGUACUGAUCCAGCUUUAUGAACAUGCAGCACUCGUACCAGCGCACUGCUGAUUAAAAAACACAGGAGGCAUUUCUUCAAAGGAUCCUGAAUAAAGCCUUUGGUUCCAUUUCCAUAUGGGGAAAAGGGAUUUUUUUCUAUUGUCCUAAAUACAUUUGUUAGACUCCCUCAUUUUUGCCUCUAGUUGAAGCUACACAAGGGAAAGAUUUUACAUGUGGUUAAUCUAUAACUGAAAACAAUCGAUAUAUAUAUUUGACCUGACAAAUAUUUCAGCAUUUGAAAUCCUUCCAGAUCCUCACAGAGUGCUACUGAAUCUCUUAAACAUGCAUUUACUGUGAUUUAAGGCUCCAGACACUGGAGAUAUAGUGACCCAGUUGUGCUCUGCACUGCUGCAUUAGUUUGGAUUUUAUUCA